rnacentral:rRNA from 1 species
CCUACGGGGGGCAGCAGUAGGGAAUAUUGCUCAAUGGGGGAAACCCUGAAGCAGCAACGCCGCGUGGAGGAUGAAGGUUUUCGGAUUGUAAACUCCUUUUGUUAGAGAAGAUAAUGACGGUAUCUAACGAAUAAGCACCGGCUAACUCCGUGCCAGCAGCCGCGGUAAUACGGAGGGUGCAAGCGUUACUCGGAAUCACUGGGCGUAAAGAGCGCGUAGGCGGGAUAGCAAGUCAGAUGUGAAAUCCUAGGGCUUAACCAUAGAACUGCAUUUGAAACUGGUAUUCUAGAGUAUGGGAGAGGUAGGUGGAAUGCGUGGUGUAGGGGUGAAAUCCGUAGAGAGCAAGAGGAAGACUCAUUGCGAAGGCGACCUGCUAGAACAUAACUGACGCUGAUGCGCGAAAGCGUGGGGAGCAAACAGGAUUAGAUACCCCAGUAGUC